rnacentral:rRNA from 1 species
GAAAAGAAACUAACAAGGAUUCCCCUAGUAACGGCGAGUGAAGCGGGAAGAGCUCAAAUUUGAAAUCUGGCAGUCUUCGAUUGUCCGAGUUGUAAUCUAUAGAGGCGUUUUCCGUGCCGGACCGUGUCCAAGUCUCCUGGAAAGGAGUAUCAAAGAGGGUGAUAAUCCCGUACUUAACACGACCACCGGUGCUCUGUGAUACGUCUUCUACGAGUCGAGUUGUUUGGGAAUGCAGCUCAAAAUGGGUGGUGAAUUCCAUCUAAAGCUAAAUAUUGGCGAGAGACCGAUAGCGAACAAGUACCGUGAGGGAAAGAUGAAAAGCACUUUGGAAAGAGAGUUAAACAGUACGUGAAAUUGUUGAAAGGGAAACGAUUGAAGUCAGUCGUGUUCUUUGGAUUCAGCCAGUUCUGCUGGUCUACUUCCUUGGAACGGGUCAACAUCAGUUUUGUCCGGUGGAUAAAGGUAGUAGGAAUGUGACUUCUCCGGAAGUGUUAUAGCCUAUUAUCACAUACACUGGGUGAGACUGAGGACUGCAGCUCGCCUUUAUGGCCGGCCUUCGGGCACGUUCGAGCUUAGGAUGUUGACAUAAUGGCUUUAAACGACCCGU